UACGGAGGGUGCAAGCGUUAAUCGGAAUUACUGGGCGUAAAGCGCACGCAGGCGGUUUGUUAAGUCAGAUGUGAAAUCCCCGGGCUCAACCUGGGAACUGCAUCUGAUACUGGCAAGCUUGAGUCUCGUAGAGGGGGGUAGAAUUCCAGGUGUAGCGGUGAAAGGCGUAGAGAUCUGGCGGUAUACCGGUGGCGAAGGGGGUCCCCAGGACGAAGUAUGGCG
rnacentral:rRNA from 1 species